rfam:Ixodes scapularis strain Wikel colony gcontig_1108379029418, whole genome shotgun sequence.
CCUAGGGGACGGCCUCUAGGACGACUUCCAGGACGACUUCGAGGACGACCUCA